rnacentral:lncRNA from 1 species
AAAACAACCUUAAUUAGCAGAUGAAACAUGAAUAAUAUUAGAUCAGAUAGACAGAAGCUCCCCCUGAGAUAGUGCUAGGGAGUUCAGAAGUUCUUACCAGAGUUUCUUAAGUAAAGAGGUUUCUUGAUACCUUCUGCAAUUUCUUAAGUCCAGGUUAGAUAAAUUUAUUUUUAAGAAAAAUAUGUUGCAGAAUGCUUAAGGUAUUAGACAAUAUUUUCAUCAGAGCUAUUAAUGACUUCUCCCCCUUUUUGUCAGAAUCAAAAAGACAUAGUAAAAAAAAAAUAAGUAAAGAGAAAAACUUGUAUUCA